UACGGAGGGUGCAAGCGUUAAUCGGAAUUACUGGGCGUAAAGCGCACGCAGGCGGUUUAUUAAGUCAGAUGUGAAAGCCCCGAGCUUAACCUGGGAACUGCAUCUGAUACUGGUUAGCUUGAGUCUUGUAGAGGGGGGUAGAAUUCCAGGUGUAGCGGUGAAAUGCGUAGAGAUGUGGAGGAAUACCGGUGGCGAAGGCGGCCCCCUGGACGAAGACUGACGCUCAGGCGCGAAAGCGUGGGGAGCAAACGGG
rnacentral:rRNA from 1 species